AUGACAUUAUUGGGGUCCUAUACCCCAUUAUUGGGGUCCCAACCCCCAUUAUUGGGGUCCUAUACCCGUUAUUGGGGUCCUAUACCCUAUUAUUGGGGUCCCAGUGAUUCCAGUUGGGCCCUAUACCCCAAUAUCGGGGUCCCAGUGCCUCCUAUUGGGGUCCCAUAUCCCAUUAUUGGGGUCCUAUACCCUGUUAUUAGGGUCCUAUACCCCAUUAUUGAGGUCCUAUACCCUGUUAUUGGGGUCCCAGUGCCCAUUAUUGGGGUCCUAUACCCUGUUAUUGGGAUCCUAUACCCCGUUAUUGGGGUCCUAUACCCCAUUAUUGGGAUCCUAUACCCCAUUAUUGGGGUCCCAUCCACCAUUACUGGGGUCCUAUACCCCAUUAUUGGGGUCCUAUACCCGUUAUUGGGGUCCUAUACCCUGUUAUUGGGGUCCCAUUCCCAAUGUUGGGGUCCUAUACCCCAUUAUUGGGGUCCCAGUGAUUCCAAUUGGGGACCCAAUGCCCAUUAUUGGGGUCCCAGUGCCUCCAAUUGGGGUCCUAUACCCCAAUAUUGGGGUCCCAGUGCCUCCUAUUGGGGUCCCAGUGCCUCCUAUUGGGGUCCUAUACCCCAUUAUUGGGGUCCCAGUGCCUCCUAUUGGGGUUCCAUUCCCCAUUAUUGGGGUCCCAUUCCCAAUGUUGGGCUCCCAUCCUCCAUUAUUGGGGUCCUAUAUCCCAUUAUUGGGGUCCCCGUGCCUCCAAUUAGGGUCCUAUUCCCUGUUAUUGGGGUCCUAUACCCCAUUAUUGGGGUCCGAUCCACCAUUAUUGGGGUCCUAUAUCCCAUUAUUGGGGUCCAAUACCCCAUUAUUGGGGUCCCUGUGCCUCCUAUUGGGGUCCCAGUGCCCAUUAUUGGGGUCCUAUACCCCAUUAUUGGAGUCCCAUCCACCAUUAUUGGGGUCCUAUACCCCAUUAUUGGGGUCCCAGUGCCCAUUAUUGGGGUCCCAUUCUCAUUAUUGGGGUUCUAUACCCUGUUAUUGGGGUCCCAACCCCCAUUAUUGAGGUCCUAUACCCUGUUAUUGGGGUCCUAUACCCCGUUAUUGGGGUCCCAGUGUCAAUUACUGGGGUCCUAUACACCAUUAUUGGGGUCCCAUCCACAUUAUUGGGGUCCCAUCCACCAUUACUGGGGUCCUAUAUCCCACUAUUGGAGUCCUAUACCCAUUAUUGGGGUCCAAUACCCCAUUAUUGGGGUCCCAUACCCCAUUAUUGGGAUCCCAUCCACCAUUAUUGGGGUCCUAUACCCCAUUAUUGGGAUCCCAUCCACCAUUAUUGGGGUCCUAUAUCCCAUUAUUGGGGUCCCAGUGCCCAUUAUUGGGGUCCCAUUCCUAUUACUGGGGUCCCAGUGCCUCCUAUUGGGGUCCCAUCACCCAUUAUUGGGGUCCCAUCCUCCAUUAUUGGGGUCCUAUACCCCAUUAUUGGGGUCCCAGUGCCUCCUAUUGGGGUCCCAGUGCCCUUUAUUGGGAUCCCAUCCCCCAUUAUUGGGGUCCCAUCCCCCUAUUUAGCCCCCCCCCCUUCAUUUAUGGUCCCCCCCCUCCCCUU
ensembl:lncRNA